rnacentral:rRNA from 1 species
GACAGAGGGUGCAAACGUUGCUCGGAAUCACUGGGCGUAAAGGGCGCGUAGGCGGACAAGUAAGUCGGGCGUGAAAUCCCUAGGCUCAACCUAGGAACUGCACUCGAAACUGCAUGUCUUGAGUACCGGAGAGGAAAGCGGAAUACCUGGUGUAGAGGUGAAAUUCGUAGAUAUCAGGUGGAACACCAGUGGCGAAGGCGGGUCUCGGGGCCGAUACUGACGCUGAGGAGCGAAAGCGUGGGGAGCGAACAGG